GACCCUGUGGGAUCUCUUUGGGGAGCGAGCACAGGGGAGUAUAGCACAAUGGGCGGGAGCCUGAGGCACCACCGCGGCGUGAGUGAUGUUAACCCUUGGGUAUUAAAGCUCUCUGAUCAGGGAUGAUAAUGACAGUACCUGACAAACAAAGCACGGCUAAAUUCGUUCCAGCAGCCCCGGUAAUAUGAAGGGGGCGAGGCUUGUCUUGAAUUAAUUGGCGUAAAGGAAAGGUAGGUGGGUUUUUUAAUCAAAUGUGAAAUUCCCGGGCUCAACCCGGGAAAUGCAAUCCAAACUGGAUGUUUUGAGUGCAGGAGGGGGAAGUGGAAUUCCUAGUGUAGCGGUGAAAUUCGUUGAUAUUUGGAGGAACACCCGUCGCGAAGGCGGCCUUCUGGCCAGAAACUGACACUCAGGCAUGAAAGCGUGGGUAGCAAACAAGCUUAGAUACCCUGCUAGUUCUCCCCCUCAACGAUGGAUAAUUGGUGUAGGAGGUAUCUACCCCCUCAGUGCCGCAGCUAACGCAUAAGUCUCCCUGGACUCGACGCUGG
rnacentral:rRNA from 1 species